rnacentral:sRNA from 2 species
GUCGCGCAAGCGCCGUAGGCAGGAGCGGGGGAACCACGGUAGGUCGCCGGAACGGUUCAUCGGUCAACGACCGACGUACCGGGACGGCUUGGGGUGAAGCCUGGUGAGCGCGAGCCACCGGGCCGGGCAACUCACGCCCGAACCCGACAGCUCACCUCGUAGGCGCCGGUGAGGAAACCG